AGGACGAACGCUGGCGGCGUGCUUAACACAUGCAAGUCGAGCGGUAAGGCCUUUCGGGGUACACGAGCGGCGAACGGGUGAGUAACACGUGGGUGAUCUGCCCUGCACUUCGGGAUAAGCCUGGGAAACUGGGUCUAAUACCGGAUAUGACCUCCUAUCGCAUGGUGGGUGGUGGAAAGAUUUAUCGGUGCAGGACCUGGGCCCGCGGCCUAUCAGCUUGUUGGUGGGUAAUGGCCUACCAAGGCGACGACGGGUAGCCGACCUGAGAGGGUGACCGGCCACACUGGGACUGAGACACGGCCCAGACUCCUACGGGAGGCAGCAGUGGGGAAUAUGCACAAUGGGCGAAAGCCUGAUGCAGCGACGCCGCGUGAGGAUGACGGCCUUCGGGUUGUAAACCUCUUUCGAGUCGAGGACGAAGCGCAAGUGACGGUACUGCAGAAGAAGCGACCGGCUAAACGUACGUGACCGAGCGAACGCCGGACGUAACGUCGUAGACGGCGGC
rnacentral:rRNA from 1 species